CAUCAGCCUCCUGAGUGGCUGGGAUUACAGGUGUGCGCCACCACCAGGGUGAUAUGUUAACAGGAUAUAGGAAAAAGGCUUCACUGUGCAAGACCUCUAAAUACCAAAACAGAGUCGAAACUGUGAAAUCUAUUUCAAUGCAUGAGAGCUCCUGUCGCUCCACAUCCUCAGCAGCACGUGGUGUUCGGUGUUCUGGAUUUUAG
rnacentral:lncRNA from 10 species